CAGCCGCCGCGGUAAUACGAAGGGGGCUAGCGUUGCUCGGAAUUACUGGGCGUAAAGGGAGCGUAGGCGGACAUUUAAGUCAGGGGUGAAAUCCCGGGGCUCAACCUCGGAAUUGCCUUUGAUACUGGGUGUCUUGAGUAUGAGAGAGGUAUGUGGAACUCCGAGUGUAGAGGUGAAAUUCGUAGAUAUUCGGAAGAACACCAGUGGCGAAGGCGACAUACUGGCUCAUUACUGACGCUGAGGCUCGAAAGCGUGGGGAGCAAACAGGAUUAGAUACCCGUGUAGUCCCUGUCUCUUAUAC
rnacentral:rRNA from 1 species